rnacentral:rRNA from 1 species
CUGGUUGAUCCUGCCGGCGGCACCGCUAUCGGAAUGCGACUAAGGCAUGCGAGUCGAGAGGUGUAAGACCUCGGCAGACGGCUGAGUAACACGCGGGUAACCUGCCCUGGAGUGGGGGAUAACCUCGGGAAACUGAGAAUAAUACCCCAUAGGUGUGGUAUGCUGGAAUGCUUCCACGCUAAAAGCCCCGGCGCUCCAGGAUGGGCCUGCGGCCUAUCAGGCUGUAGUGGGUGUAACGGACCCACUAACCUACGACGGGUAGGGGCGUUGAGAGACGGAGCCCCCAGAUGGAUUCUGAGACACGAAUCCAGGCCCUACGGGGCGCAGCAGCUACGAAAACUGCCCAAUGUGGGAAACCACGAGGCGGGCAUUCCGAGUGCCAACGCAUUGCGUUG